UGGGAACGUACCCUUUGGUUCGGAACAACCCAGGGAAACUUGGGCUAAAUAACCGGAUAAGUCCGUAAGGAGAAAGAUUUAUCGCCAAAGGAUCGGCCCGCGUCUGAUUAGCUAGUUGGUAGGGUAAUGGCCACCAAGGCGACGACGGGUAGCCGGCCUGAGAGGAUGACCGGCCACACUGGGACUGAGACACGGCCCAGACUCCUACGGGAGGCAG
rnacentral:rRNA from 1 species